rnacentral:lncRNA from 1 species
UGGGGAUAUUUAGACAGUCUACACAUCGACGUUAUAUUCGAUGUAAGCUGGUUAUAUGGACUUUUCAUGAAUGAUUCGACGAUGUUCUGCAGGUAUAAUAACAUCCCGUCUGGUUCCCUCACAAGAAAAGAACAUCAUGAUCACUACAAGAUGGCACUUAUAAUUUACACAGGCUGUCCUCAUUUCAAUGAAAGACCGUUUAUUUUUGUCCCAUGAAUCGAUCAUAAUACGACCCUUGAGGUUAGAUUUCUCCUAUAAUAUUUUGGAGUCGGCUAUAGGUCGUCUUCUCAGCCGCAUACUGAACAAUGACGACGAAAAGGAAGCUGUGGGGCUUUCUUUGAUCUCAUUUUUUUCAAAGAUAUACAAUGCAAAUAUAUAUGUAAAUCUUAACUUUGGUUUUCAGCCUGUUUUCUUCCAAAUUGACUAAAAAACCAGGGCUCCCCAACUUUCUCAAUUUCGCAUUCAUAAUCGCACCCUACAUACACAGAUUGACAAGUACAACAUCUAAAUUAUAAGUUUAUAGUUUGAUUUUUCCAAUUAUUUUUUUGGCGUUGACAUAUCGAUAAUUCACUAGAUCUAUGUGAAUAACUACUCAUUCACCCGCCCCCCUUCUUCACAGGCUUUCGUGGAUAUGGCAGUGGAAAACGAGGCGUUUGCCAUGAGAUUUGAUCAUACCAAAUGAAAAGGGCAACUAGAACAGAAACCAUGUUAAAUGAAUGAUUCUGCGAAGGGGGGCACAACGGUAGGAUCAAAGCUCGUUUGGCAACUUUGGGGGAAUGAAAGACCCAGCAAUUUCUUUAAUGGGAAACAAAAACCAUCAGAACAGGGUCGAGUCAGCUUUAUUUCAUGCGACAGGGAUUCGCCACUCUUUGUAGAAGAGAGCGAGAAAGCAUUCAAGCUUGCACUAUCCAGACAGAACACUCAUGGUGAUAGAUCACGUAUAGAUGCGUAGAGAUAGAGAGGUCAGAGAGAAGCUUCUUAGGUUCAAGAAGCCGGUUCCUCAAGUGCUGUCAUCUCCUCCAUCAUGUAUCCGUGGUUAAUAGGGUUGAAGACGGGAAUACCGGAGCACUUGCAGGGGGACAUGAUGGGUCCGUGCCCAAGAUCCACCGGAAGGGUGCAGCCCGGCAGCUUGCGAGAGAGCACCACCGAGUUUAUGACGUCGUCCGUCGGGUGGAACACCGAGAGGACCUCGAAGCAGCGCAGGCUACUCGGGUCGACCACAGGGUAGAGGAACGCGCGAGCGCCGUGAGCGCUCCGAAGCAUCAGCACAGCGCCGGGCGCCAUGUACUUGGCCAGGUGAUCGAGCACCCGACCCUUCGCCUCCGCGGUCAUCCCCACCAGAGCCGCCAGGAACACCACAUCGUACUCGCGGAGGGCGUGGGUCACCUCCAUGAUGUCCGCCGUGUGGAAGAACAUCCUCCCCGACAGAUCGGGAUCGGGAGCGACGAGCCGACGGGCCUUGGCGUUAGCCUCCUCGUCGAUGUCGUAGUUGUGGAAGGAGGUGGACCGCAGGUGGCGCUGGGCCAGGACGAUGGACGUCAGCGGCAGUGGUCCGGAGCCGAUGAAGGCGAUGCGGGCCGGAGCCCUUGCGGUAUGCUUGAUGAGGAUGUCGUGCUCGAGGCGGGCGAGUUUGAUGUAGUUGGUGUAGUAGGGGAAGAUCUCGACAUGGUCGAGGGGCUUGUCGAAGGAGCCCAGCAAGGCCGAGAAGUGGCUCUCCAGGUAGCCUUCCGCCUCCCCGCACAGCCUGAUGAGCUUCCAUCUCAUUUCCUGGGCAUCCCUGGUCAGCCUGGCGACAUCGAUGGCGCUGGGUGGGACGCAUGUCAGGACGAGCUUGGAGAAGAGCUCGUUGACCUCACUGGAGGGUUUCAAAGAGGGUAGCUUGCUGAUGCUUGCAUACAAGUCCCAGAUCUGCUGCACCAGCUGGGGAUCCUCCCCGUUACCCAUGUCGACACUACCCCUACUGGGCUGAGAGGACAGAGACAGAGGGCAGACGGUGGCCAUGUCGACACUCUCCUCGGGGGAACGAUGAGAAACACGAAUGGAUACUUUUACCCUGACCUUACGAUGAGAAGGAAAUGACGACACUCUGGAGGAAGAGGCACGAGAUGAUGAGCAGAGAGCCCCUUCCUUUAUACCACUUUAUAAGUUGGCUUGUGGUGGGAACUUCAAGGGCAGCAGCGUGGAGCGUGCCGUUGCCAUAUUUUAAUAAACAUUGGCUAACUUCCACGGUUUCUUACGUCACGAAAAAUCUAAUUUACCGAGAGUAUCAGAGAGAUAAAGAGAUUUACACAUUUAUGCGUAUAUGCGGAAUGAUUUUUCUAAAAUUUCCAGUUAAGUAUUCUCCUCUCUCAUCUGUCCCCACUUCGUCGGAAAAAUGGUUUGCAUUCUAUGGAUUUAGCUAAGAACAUUAAAUCGUAUAGAUUAACAUAAACACAGAAUUCGGUUAUUCUGGUAGAAAGAUAUCUCAUCUCCGUUAUACCACGAAAUUUCCACGUCGUUCUCAGAACGGGGAAGCGUGGAAUAGACGACGCUCAGCGAUACGUGAUCCGUUUGGACAAUCUCCCGAGACCACACGCCGCGAGAUAGUGAAACGUCUGGCUUACGGCGGUGGAUUGAAGACAAGUAGGCACCUUCGGUAUCAAAUAUGAACACGCGAGGCAGAUUUGCGGCGGAAAUUAUCUCUGAUCAUCCGAAUAUCAUCGGUCUGACAGCUUAGUCACUCGCGGUAAACAAAACACUGGGGAGAUGACAACGAAUGAAUAUGUUGAUUAUUGUGAUCCCUCCCCUCACGCACGUCACAUGACACGUUUGCGUGUUGAUCAUGAAUCCAACCGGAGGUUACCGACUUCCAAAGGUCCCAUAUAGCUCUCGUUCUUGGUUUCCGUAAGAGAGGUUAAUAGGGAAUGGCGUGGGCGUAGAGGGGAAACUGAUAUCGAAAUUGAGUUUUGACGAGGAUCUCAAUGCGCGAGACGGAGCGGGGACUGGAUUAAGUUUUUCUUGACUCGAGCUUCUAAAUUUUCUUGAAAAUAUUUCAGUUAGAAUUACUUUGAUUGGAUUUGAACCCCUUACGACUUCCAAAUGUCAAAAGACCAUCUCUUUCCCUGUGAUCUAUCCAUUUUAGACCGGGCUUGAUUGUAAUCAGACCAGAAAGUCAGUUUUCAGUUUUUUCUGCUUGUCUGAGAAAUGUAAGAGGCAGGGGGACUUUAUUAUACUCGAUAAAACCGGAUAACGGUGCGAAGCAUUAGGUGACAGAUAUCACAUGAGAAUUUACAAAAUAAGAGUUUCUUUCGUUGUCAUGAUUGAAUGAUUCUUGCCAUAUUAAAUGAUCGGAAUCCUUUGCGUUCACACCUGCGCGCUACAACGACGAGGAAUGAAGAUUUUAUGUGGUCGUCGGACUUCGAAGAUGCAACGUCUUCUGGAGAUAGAUGAUGAAGCCAUCAAGGUGACCUAUUUCCACAAGAAAGGAGACCCCGCAAGCCUUGCAGAAGGGGGGAGGAUGUCAAACUUCAUAGACGUACAUGACUGCGGUGAUCCAAAACUAACACGAAACGAUUGGAUAAAUAAACGUCGUUAUGGAAAACAAACUAAAGGGAAUCAUGCAUUGUGGAAAACGAAGGUUGACUAACCCUCGGAUAUCAGCGUAGAAGAAUCAUCCAAAGUGGAAAUGGACGGAAAACAGUAACUAUCCCGAAUCUGGGGGUUGGCCAUUCAAGCCGAUGAAAACAGGAUGAAGAGAAAAAGAAAUCUCUGGAUAGAUUUCUGGUCCGUGUCAAGUCUUUGAAUUGAAAAUGGUGCGCUGACGUGAGCCAGUACGCUGAGAAACGGCAGUUGAUCGCGUGGCCUCCACCUCAAGUCUCCACGGCCAAACCACCUCCCUCCAGCCCAUGACUUAACCGGAAAUGAACCCCAUUGAAGUAUGACACUGUCCUAAUCAACCGACUUGGCUGCCAAGUCCUGAAUGACAUAUGUUAUCUCCCAACGUGCCUUUCGGAAGGAAAAGUAGACCACAUGACGUGACCCACAUCCGUCGUCUCAUGAAUGGUAAUCAACUUCGGAUCAUUAUUAGGUCUGCCAACUGGUCAGGCUUUCACAUCCAUCAUUAAAUCAUACUUUAUGCUGAAAUGAGUUCUUCAUUUCAUUACGGUUUAAAAGGAGAACCUCAGCAUUGAAUAUACAAACCUAAGGAGCUGAUACAUGAUAAUCUAAUUUGCACUGAUCAAUGGUCGAAGGGAUCUUCGCAUCCGAGUCGCGGCGGGAUAUUCGCUAGAAAUCUGAAGUUCACUCCGCAUUUUCGCAAAUAAAACCUGCAGAUACUAAAUGAGGAAAUAGGUGAGCUUUAAAGUGGGUUUUUGGUUAAAUGAGGAGCUGUCGGGGCCCCAUCAAGCAGCUCCUGCCCAACUUUGAGCUUGCAACCAUGGAGAGAAAACAAUAGCGAAGUAGCAAAGAUGGUGCAGUGAUACGCAGAGCUGCUGUGGUCAUAUUCUCCGCGUGGGUUUCUUCGUGAACGAUGGAAUCUCGGAGAGUUUCUCUGCUAACGAACGUUAUGCGUGAAUGCAUCAUAUAACGUGAAGGAUUGACGGAAAAAGGUUCUUCACCUGCACUGCAGACGUUAUUAAAUGAUCGUCUUCCUCUCGGGAGCUACGGUAGCAGCCCUUCACAACAAAAGAGGGCCCCAGAACUGGGUCUACUUGAAAGAAGAGUAGGGGCUCGGUGAAAGAUUGAUAUCGAGAAAUACCAUGGCGGAAGAGACGGGGAGCAAGUACAAUGAUUAGAAUGUUACAUAAGAAUGGACCCGGAAACUAUAUAUUAUGAGCAUAAAGAUUUUGCUCAUAUCAGAAAGUGUUCAUAAUACGUAAUCUUAAGAGGAGAUGAUUAUCCGGCAAGACGUAACCAAAGUGUUCUUAAAGCAAUGUCAAUCUCUUGCAUUUAAUAUGAAAAUUGAAUAGCCCAGUUAACAGGAUCCUUGAUAUCCUAAUCCCUGACCUCGUUGGGCAUACGAUGUAAAACCCUUACUUCUGAAAAGGUCUUGCCUUUGUAAGGGGAUUAGAAGAUGAGUGCGUCAUCGCAUAAAAGCAUCUAAAAAAUAAUCAAGGUGAGAAACUACAGCCUCCUCAUCUAUGGCAGUCCCGUGGAUAAUACUUUCCUAUCUUUUGGUGCAUGGUAAUAUCGUUGAUGUCUUAUACGCUUCGGCUUCAGUCUUAGAAACCGAAAACCACCGUGGAGAGGGUUUCCGGGUAUCCACUAUCAAUUGUCACGGUUUCCAUAUAAACCCAAGGACCUGCCUGCUUUUAAGCUUCGGAAACUGAUAGUUCUCUUACGGGAACGGAAUUGUAGCAAGAUUUGCCAAAUUCUCCGUUUUAUGGAUGGAGAUUUUCUGAGAUUUCAUCGUGAAAUAAGUACAAAGAGGUGACAAGGAACGUCAUCAUCCAAGAAUGAGAAAAAGACAGUUUCAUUCCAUCAAACAAGAUAUCGAUAUUCUAAUCACCUGGAUUACUUCUUUCGGACUUUCAAAACUAUGAAAAAGAAAAACUCGCGAGUCUUAAACAGUGCACUCUCAUGAUGAUGGGUUAAUCUGGGUGCCCAUUCCCUUGUUUUUAUCUCUGCUGCUAAAACGGGUUCAACAGAUGGAGUCUAAGAAUCAAAUAUUCAAACAAGUAUUGGACCUAGUUCUGGGAUUGUGGAUAACCCAUUAUAACAAUCUUCUGUUCUGAGGAAAACAUUCCUGAGAUGGGGAAGCAACCUACAUUAUAUGAACUAACUGAAGCCUUGUAGAUCAACUAUAAUCUACAUACAAUAAUAUUAUGCUAAAAAUACCAAGGAUGAUAAGAGGAUGAUCAAGCUUGCCAUCUCCCACUUUACUAACUACAUCAACGAUGAGUAGUCGUCAGUCCCAAUAUGAUCACAAAUACUUCAAAUAAAGGACGCCAAACAAAAUUUCUGGACCUGAAAGUUGACACAGGAUAACAUGACAUUACAAGUGCACUGCUCACGGACAAUAGAGGCUGAAUGAUUCAUUGGAUUAACAAGGAGGUUCGCAUCGUUCUCAGACAUGGGACCAGUCCAGUUUUGAUUUACCCAGCUUAUCGCGCAGAGCAUUUUUUUUCCUUCAUAUUACAAGAAACAUCAUAACCUCAGUAAAACUCGGACUUUACUACCAUUUAAUUCCUCAUUACUUCUGAAUCAUAUAUAAGAAACAAAUAUGGCUUAAAAUAAUGAAAAGUUGAACGUAAAUGAAAUAGUUCUCCUGAAAUUUUCAAAGGGACGAAUUAGGAUCUGUUUAAACUGAGUCUGGACCAUCCAGCAGACGGUAUGGCUCAAGAUGCUAUCUCAGUGCGUGUUGAAGGAGAAAGGUUGAUGGAGGGGAGCUGUGACGUAUGAAGGAUUUUAGGCUCUGGAUAUCCCCGAUUUACUCCAUGUUUCUAGGCUGAAAAAGAUCACCUUAGCUGGAGGACCUUCAUUAGUAUCACUUCUGAAAAACCUACGUCGAGAGAGAGAGGGAGACAAUAAUGGUCAGGGAAAACGACCAUGCAGUAAAGUUUUGAUAUUCCAUUUCAAGAGCCGAAUGCCGCGAUAUGUAUGACAAAACGCAGCAAAAUGAUAUGAAAAAAACUGAAGACAAAACACGAUGUUCAUUUCGUAUGGGGUUAGGACAAGGGAUAGAACGCAGCUCAUGUUUCAUUGUGAGAGAGAAUGAGUGAGAGCGAGCGAGAGAGCGAGAGAGAGAGAGGAGGGAGAGAGAGAGAGAGAGAGAGGAGGAGGAAGGGAGGAGGAGGAGGAGGAGGGAGAGAGAGAGAAGAACAACAAUUACACGAGGCAAACUUGAACCAUAAAGGCGUAGCACAUGAAGACUUGGAUAUUGCACUCAUGAGGAACAAUUGACAUUAGAAAAUGCAACGUAAGUUGGUACAGAACAUUAGCCACAGUGCUUGGAUAAGGUGGGAAAGCAUGAUUAACAAGGCCUGGUAAGAACCAGGCUUGCAUGUGCCUCAACAAUGGCAGAACCACACAUCCAGAUUAACAGAUAAUCUCCUUGAGAUCAUCUGCAUAUAGCAGCGUAUAAAUACAUAGAGAGAAAUAGAAGGAAAGGCGACAGGGUGGUCCUCAAGGGGCCAUCUCCUCCACCAUGUUUCCGUGGUUGAGGGGAUUGAAUACUGGAAUACCGGAGCAUUUGCAGGGGAACAUGAUGGGUCCGUGCCCAAGAUCAGAAGCGUGGCUGCAGCCCGGCAGCUUGCGAGAGAGCACCACCGAGUUUAUGACGUCGUCCGUCGGGUGGAACACCGAGAGGACCUCGAAGCAGCGCAGGCUACUCGGGUCGACCACAGGGUAGAGGAACGCGCGAGCGCCGUGAGCGCUCCGAAGCAUCAGCACAGCGCCCGGUGCCAUGUACUGGGCCAGGUGAUCGAGCACCCGACCCUUCGCCUCCGCGGUCAUUCCCACCAGCGCCGCCAGGAACACCACAUCGUACUCGCGGAGGGCGUGGGUCACCUCCAUGAUGUCCGCCGUGUGGAAGAACAUCCUCCCCGACAGAUCGGGAUCGGGAGCGACGAGCCGACGGGCCUUGGCGUUAGCCUCCUCGUCGAUGUCGUAGUUGUGGAAGGAGGUGGACCGCAGGUGGCGCUGGGCCAGGACGAUGGACGUCAGCGGCAGUGGUCCGGAGCCGAUGAAGGCGAUGCGGGCUGGAGCCCUUGCAGUAUGCUUGAUGAGGAUAUCGUGCUCGAGGCGGGCGAGUUUGAUGUAGUUGGUGUAGUAGGGGAAGAUCUCAACAUGGUCGAGGGGCUUGUCGAAGGAGCCCAGCAGGGCCGAGAAGUGGCUCUCCAG